AUUGAAAGAAAAAUAGGACAAGAAAGAACACAAGAGAUUUAACGAGGUUCGGUAAAUUAUACCUACGUCCUCGGGCACUAACACCAGAUGAUAACUUUACUAUCUCCAAAAUAUUACAAACAAAUAGAAUUCCUUAAGAAUUCUCAAAUGGGAGAAGAGAGAAAACUAAGAGAGAAAGAUUGGUUGGGAUGGUUGAAAUGAGAAAUGGUUAGGCCUAUUUAUAGUUGAAGUUCAGGGACUAACUUGCAAAUGGCCUAAAAAAUUAGGAACCAAAAUUGCAAUUAUCCCUUUCAACUUUAAACAACUUGCCAACUAUUUUUUUUCUUUCGGUGCCAAUUGCACCUCCCACCAUUUUUGACUUUUCAACCCCUUUUUAAUUUAACUUAUCAACAAUCUCCACCUUGAAGAUUUGAUUAGGAUAAUCACAUCUUCACACACUUCCUUCAACUCCCCAAAUUCGAUAAAGCUAUCUUUUGUAGUGCCUCCAAAUGCGCUCUCUAGCGCCAUACACCUAAAGGUGCUCAAAUUCUCAGGAUGUUAAUCAAGUUCAAACAAUGAUUAAACUUGAUUGUUGUUACCACCUUGGUCAUCAUAUCUGCGGGAUUAUCUGUUGUCGGAAUCUUCUCAAGUAGAAUUUUUCCUUUUUCAAAGACUUCCCGCACAAAGUGAUAUCUUACGUCGAUAUGCUUGGUUCUUGAAUGAUAGACUUGAUUUUUCGCUAAAUGAAUAGCACUCUGACUGUCACAAUAUAGACUAAUGUGACUUUGAACAACUCCCAAGUCUUUCAAUAAUCCAUUAAGCCAAAUAGCCUCCUUAACAGCUUCUGUAACUGCCAUAUAUUCUGCCUCUGUAGUAGACACAGCUACUGUAGACUGUAAGGUAGACUUCCAACUCACUGGGGCUUUCGCAAGAGUAAACAGAUACCCCGUAGUUGAACGACGUUUAUCUAAAUCACAGCAAAGUCAGAAUCAAUAUAUCCAACUACAAACUGACCAAGUGCUUCAUCCUGUUCAAAAAUUAAACCAACAUCUACGGUUUUUCGAAGAUACCGUAGAAUCCAUUUCACAGCUUGCCAAUGUCCUUUUCCAGGAUCAUGCAUAUACCUGCUCACAACUCCAACAGCUUGUGAAAUGUCAGGCCUCGUACACACCAUCGCAUACAUCAAACUCCCAACUGCAUUAGCAUAUGGGACUUUCGCCAUAUAUUCUCUUUCUUCUUCAGUUUUCGGAGAUAAUUGAGCACUAAGUUUCAAAUGAGAAGCAAGUGGGGUACUUACAUGUUUUGUGUUUUCAUUUACACCAAAACAUUGUAAUACCUUUUUCAGAUAUUGCUUCUGAUUCAAACAAAGCUUGCCUCUCUGUCUAUCUCUACUUAUCUCCAUGCCGAGAAUCUUCUUGGCCUCACCUAGAUCUUUCAUCUCGAACUCUUGAUUCAACUGAGCCUUCAGCUUAUCUAUCUCAUUUUGGCUCUUCGAAGCGAUUAACAUAUCAUCAACAUACAAGAGUAGAUAAAUGAAAGAUCCGUCAUGCAGCUUCUGCAAAUACACACAAUUGUCAUAUUUGCUUCUUGUGUACUUCUGCCUUCUCAUAAAGCUAUCAAAUCACUUGUACCACUGCCUCAGGGAUUGCUUCAAUCCAUAUAGCGAUUUGUUAAGCUUACAAACCCAAUUUCUACCACCAGCAUCUGUGUAUCCUUCUGGCUGAGUCAUAUAGAUCUCCUCUUCUAACUCACCAUGCAAGAAAGCCGUCUUAACAUCAAGUUGAGCUAGCUCCAAAUUCAACUAUGCUACCAAGGCCAACAAAAUUCUAAUGGAGGAAUGCUUCACAACAGGGGAAAAUACAUCAUUGUAGUCAAUUCCCUCCUUCUGAGCGUAGCCUUUAGCUACCAAUCUUGCCUUGUAGCGAAUAUCCUUCUUGCUAGGAGAUCCAUCUUUCUUUGCGAAUACCCACUUGCAUCCGAUUGCCCUUUUACCUUUCGGUAAUUGCGCCAACUCCCAAGUAUUAUUCUUUCGGAGAGACUGUAUUUCUUCAUCCAAGGCGCUUUUCCAUUUAUCACUUUCUAAGCUUUGCAUUGCUUCUUGAUAAGUGAUAGGAAUAUCAUCAACAACGGGAAGGGCGUAGGCCACCAUAUCAGUAAAUCGAGCAGGUUUACGAAUUUCUCUCCGUGGCCUUGCAACUGCAACUGGUUCUGGUGUACUUAGUGGUUCUUGGGUCAGAACCUCUUCAACCUCUAAUUCCUCCAUUGUGGCUGGAGAAUUAGACUUAUUAACUGGGCAAAUCCCCAUCUGCUCAAACUCCACCUGUUUUGGAGUACACUCCACCUGCUGUGGAGUAUUGCUCGUCUGAAUAUCUUUAUCUGCUACCUUUUUCAAUGUGGCAGAUUCAUCAAAGAUAACAUCUCUGCUACAGAUCAUUUUCUUUGUGCUUAAGCACCAAAGACGAAAUCCCUUCACUCCAGAAGUGAUUCCCAUAAAGAGAGCUUUCUUUGCCCUCGGAUCUAACUUUGACUCCUUCACAUGGUAAUAUACAGUGGAUCCAAACACAUGUAAGGAAUCAUAAUCUGUAGCCGAUUUUCCAGACCAUACCUCCAUAGGAGUUUUUCUUUCUAAUGCAGAUGAUGGCAAACGAUUAACAAGAUGGCCAGCGUAUGUCACAGCCUCAGCCCAAAAUUACUUGCCCAACCCAGCAUUGGACAACAUACAUCGAACUUUCUCCAGCAAUGUUCGAUUCAUACGCUCUGCCAAUCCAUUCUGCUGUGGUGUAUCCCUAACUGUGAAGUGUCGAACAAUACCAUACUCUUGGCACACAUCGAAGAACGGAUCACUUUUAUAUUCCCCUCCAUUGUCCGUCCUAAGCCGCUUGAUUUUCUUGCCAGUCUGGUUUUCGAUCAUAGUUUUCCAUUUAAGAAAAACUCCAAGCACUUCAUCUUUAGUUUUCAUGGUAUACACCCAAACUCUUCUGGAAAAGUCAUCAACAAAAGUAACAAAGUAGUGUUUUCCUCCCAACGAAGGUGUUUUGGAAGACCCCCACACAUCUGAGUGAAUAUAUUCCAAAAUACCUUUUGUAUUAUGGAUAGCAGUGUCGAAUUUCACUCUCUUUUGCUUCCCCAGAACACAAUGCUCACAAAAUUUUAAUUUGCAAGCCUUUGCACCUUUCAACAAUCCUUGCUUUGCCAGAAUUUGCAAGGAUUUUUCGCUGGCAUGUCCCAACUUCAUAUGCCACAACUGCAUUGAGUCCAAGUCUUUGUUACCGGAAGCUGCAGCGACUGCUCCAAUAACGGUACUACCUUGGUAGUAAUACAAGUUAUUUUUCCUGAUGCCCUUCAAUAUCACAAGUGCGCCAGAUGUCACUUUCAAAAUCCCAUCUCUCAUAGUAACAACUGAACCAUUGGAUUCCAAGGCUCCCAAUGAGAUGAGAUUUUUCUUCAAACUAGGCACGUACCGAACAUCAGUCAGAACUCUGGUUGAUCCAUCUUGAUUCUUUAAUUGGAUUGAAUCUAUCCCAACAGUUUUACAGGCAUUGUCAUUGCCCAUAUAAACAACUCCUCCAUUUAGUUCUACUAAAUCAGAGAACCACUCCCGGUUAGGGGACAUAUGAUAGGUACAACCCGAAUCCAAUAUCCACUCAUCUGAAUGGAACGACGAUGAUGAUGCAACCAGUGAUAGUUCAGAGUCACUAGUAUCAUGCUUAGCAACACAAGCAUCUACAGCAGCUUUUCCCUUAUUCUUCAGCUUUGGACAAUUUUUCUUCCAGUGGCCUUUCUCAUGACAAAAAAGCACAUUCAUCUUUCCCGAGUCUGGACUUUGACUUUGAUCUCCCCUUUUGAGUUUUCUUCCGAGUGUAUGAACGACCUCGGACUACUAAAGCUUCUUUAUCUCUGAUUGAGUUUUUCUGUUUGUCCUUCUUUCUCUGUUCAUAACUGUAUAAGGCCGCACAGACUUCGCUCAGAGAUAUAUCACUCCUGCCAUGAAGUAGAGUAGUUUCUAGGAACUCAAACUCCUCAGGAAGUGACCCCAACAGCAUCAAAGCCAAAUCUUCAUCUUUGAAUGUCUCAUCCAUAUUCAGCAAAUCAGUGACUAACUGAUUAAAUUUGGUGAUGUGAUCAUUCAUUGUGGUACUUGGGACGUAUGUGAAACGAAACAGUCUUUUCUUCAAGUGGAGCUUAUUUUGACUAUUUUUCUUCAAAAAUUUUUCUUCAAGUGCCACCCACAACUUAUUUGCAGAAGUCUCCUUUGAAAAAGCGUACCUCUGCUCUCGAGAAAGGCAUGAUCGAAUUGUGCCACAUGCCAACCGAUUGAUCGCCUUCCAAUCUUUCUCCUGUACAUCAUCUGGUUUUUCUUCAUCAAUGGCAAUGUCUAGACCCUGCUGAAAAAGGGCAUCUAGAACCUCACUUUGCCACAUACCAAAAUGACCUGUGCCAUCAAAGAUCUCCACGACCAGUCUUGCAUUUGCAAUUGUCGGUCUUGUCCACAUAGACGAUGUUGAAGCUCCUACACCGACCGUUUUCUCCAUAAUCUUUCAAUAUAUACCUAAGGAAAUCUUUUCUGAUGUGGAAGAUCAGUUUAAACUGCAACCACAGAGCAUACUACGAUUAACCUUCGGCUCUUGAUACCACUUGUUGUUCCAAUAGGGUCGGAAGCGUGUAAAUUAUUGUACUAAAAAAUCACACAAAGUUCAAUUCCCAGGGAAGAGAGGUGGAUCACAUGGAUCUCUUAAAUACCAAGUCUUUCCUUAGACAGAAUAUCCAUUCUAUAGUAAUUUAAUAGCACAAUUAAAUACUACUAUUAUACCCUCAAAUAUUGAAAGAAAAAUAGGAUAAGAAAGAACACAAGAGAUUUAACGAGGUUCGGUAAAUUAUACCUACGUCCUCGGGCACUAACACCAGAUGAUAACUUUACUAUCUCCAAAAUAUUACAAACAAAUAGAAUUCUUUAAGAAUUCUCAAAUGGGAGAAGAGAGAAAACUAAGAGAGAAAGAUUGGUUGGGAUGGUUGAAAUGAGAAAUGGUUAGGCCUAUUUAUAGUUGAAGUUCAGGGACUAACUUGCAAAUGGCCUAAAAAAUUAGGAACCAAAAUUGCAAUUAUCCCUUUCAACUUUAAACAACUUGCCAACUAUUUUUUUUCUUUCGGUGCCAAUUGCACCUCCCACCAUUUUUGACUUUUCAACCCCUUUUUAAUUUAACUUAUC
rnacentral:lncRNA from 1 species